rnacentral:rRNA from 1 species
CCCUUAGAUGUUCUGGGCCGCACGCGCGCUACACUGUUCGACGCAGCGAGUCUUAACCUUGACCGAAAGGUUUGGGUAAUCUUCAGCAAAGUCGAACGUGAUGGGGAUCGAUCAUUGCAAUUAUUGAUCGUGAACGAGGAAUUCCUAGUAAGUGCAAGUCAUCAGCUUGCGCUGAUUACGUCCCUGCCCUUUGUACACACCGCCCGUCACUACUACCGAUUGAAUGGUUUAGUGAGAUCUCUGGAUUGACGCUGGCUAGGGGGCGACCCUUGGCCAGACUGCUCGAGAAACUGCUCAAACUUGAUCAUUUAGAGGAAGUAAAAGUCGUAACA